rnacentral:rRNA from 1 species
AUUGAACGCUGGCGGCAGGCCUAACACAUGCAAGUCGGACGGUAACAGAAAGCAGCUUGCUGCUUUGCUGACGAGUGGCGGACGGGUGAGUAAUGUCUGGGAAACUGCCUGAUGGAGGGGGAUAACUACUGGAAACGGUAGCUAAUACCGCAUAACGUCGCAAGACCAAAGAGGGGGACCUUCGGGCCUCUUGCCAUCGGAUGUGCCCAGAUGGGAUUAGCUAGUAGGUGGGGUAACGGCUCACCUAGGCGACGAUCCCUAGCUGGUCUGAGAGGAUGACCAGCCACACUGGAACUGAGACACGGUCCAGACUCCUACGGGAGGCAGCAGUGGGGAAUAUUGCACAAAGGGCGCAAGCCUGAUGCAGCCAUGCCGCGUGUAUGAAGAAGGCCUUCGGGUUGUAAAGUACUUUCAGCGGGGAGGAAGGGAGUAAAGUUAAUACCUUUGCUCAUUGACGUUACCCGCAGAAGAAGCACCGGCUAACUCCGUG